CAGAUGAGGAGACUGAGGAUCAGAGAUGUCAGAAACAGGCCCAAGAUCACACAGCCAAAUAGAAGCAAACCCAGGGGGAUAUGAUUUCCAAGGCCAUGCUCAUGUGCCCACCGUGCUAAAUUUGGAGGGAAGCUGGGGAAAGAAAGGAGGGCCAGGAUUGUGAGAAAUGGUCAUUUAGGACUUGAGAAAUGUAUAAACCCGGAAGAAUGAUCAGAGUGCCUCCUCCGCUGAAAAUCCACAGCCAGGCAUGGACCCCUCCCCACCACCUCCUACUAUGGUACUUAAAGACCUCACCAUGAAAAACUGGAUUGCAUAAAGGACUGCUCCUGGACAGAGACCCCUGGCUUGUUAUAUUUGCACAACUGGACAGUUUUCAUGGCAUAGAUUGGAUGGACUCUGUCAGUGACAGGAGGCAAUGUCCCUCCUGAAGGAGGGAAGGGAGUCUCUUCACUAGCAAAUACUCCAGUUUCUCAGCCAUUGGGGAAAAAAAAAAGAUCCUGUGAUUCCAACCAUGGAACUGCUACUCAAAACAACUACAAGAAAGAGGAAGUAGAGACCACGCGAGGUAUUUCCGUGUAAGACUGUUCCACCUUGAGAAAAGAAGCAAAAUGUGGAAAUGGGUCCUUCGCUGGAGAAUGGAUUAAAGAGUCUUUGGUCUCUUUCUGAAUUGUGCUACUUAAUUUAUCAUCACCACCAUCAUCAUCAUCUUUGUUGUCAUCAUCUCCAUCACCCGUGCUUCCUACAUGCCAGAAGUGUUGUGUUCCCUGGUUGAUCUCAUUUAAUUCUUCUGACAGCAAUAUGAGAAUCACCAUGGAAACCACAGCCACAAAUCCUGACAGCUCAAAUAUCACAAGUAGUGCUGAUAAUUGAUGGCAUGAAUAUCUGACAAGAGAUUUUGCAAUACUAAUGACAAAGAAAGCCUGGUGGAAUCACCUACUGGGAAGGCAGUGGUCCAGCUUUGGGUAAAUCUGAUUCAUUUACUCAGCAAAUAUUUAUGGAGCACUUACCAUGUGCUGUCAGGUUGUUGGGAUACAUCCGUUAACAAGAAGGAAGAAGAUUCCUGUCCUUAUUCUAGCAAAGAAAGCAGGAUUCAAAGCACUUCCUCUUAAGUAAUAGGUAGAAAUCUAUUUUUGUUGUUGUUGAUAAAACUACUAAAAGCCGUAGGAUUUCAAAACUCUUAAUCCUGAAGUCUCACUAAACAACAGAACCAAUAGGAUUUAGAAGGAUGGUUGGCCCACAUAAGUCCUGAAAGCAGAUUUGGAGCCAGUGUGGGCUUAGCAGUUGGCUCUCGGAAGUAAAUAAUAGAAAAUAGUCUCAUUUGCAGUAUUUGACUUUUUUUUUUUUUUUUGGCAGUGGUGUUGUAAACACUCACUGUGGCCAUUUCAAAUUAACCAUGAGAUGUCCUUGAACCUGGUGUUGGGAAAAUACGUACAAUGGUUCUUAAGAGCUGGUGCAAACUGGCUCUGGGUCACCACAGACUCAGGGCCCAUAUGAUAAUGAAGCAUCUGAAGCAUCGCACAUGGAAAGGGCAUUGAAGUCCAUGGACAUUUGUUUCUUGUUCAUGGUGUAUGGCAAUCAGUGCUGACAGAGGUGUCACAAGCGAAUUGCUGCAAAUACUCUUAAUUCUUUAAGUCACCUCACUGAUGCAGAAAAAACUUUUUUGGGAAAAAAGAAACAUUAAACGUAUACAGAAUUUAUUUGAUUUAUGAACUAGAGCAAAAUAUGUCUUUCUUCAUAUAAGUUCUUGUUAUUUCCUUUAGGCCUUGGCAGCUAUGCAGAGCAUUGCAGUGAGAAGCUGCUGUCUUGGGGGAGCUUUACUGCUUUUGGAGAUUUAAUACUGAUCUUGAACUUGAGGUAUAUAAAGGAAUACCUGUGUCUGUUCUGCAUUUCCUUAUUGGAUUAAGCAGAUAUUUUGUUUUCUUCUUAAGUUAUAUACUGAGGAUAGUUAAACAUUUCCUCUUGAAAAAAAUCAGCCAGGCCGUUUUGUCAGAUUCAUGUUUAUAGAGUCUGAGUCCUUCACGAUGGACAAGUCAGUUACACCAAAUUGUUCUGCCUGGAUGUUUACUGCUUCUAAUUUCACUGUAUGUGUCUGGACCAACUUAGGUCUAAAGGACACUGUUGUUGUUGCUUUUCCAAAACCUGUGGAAAGGUGCUCAUUCCUUUUUUUUUUUUUAAACAAACUUUGUUUCGCUUCUCCUAGGUGUGUCUGCAUGAACUUCUAUGCACCAGAAACUUUCAUUUCAAUGCUGAAAUGUGGGGUAAGAUUUUGGUGAAAUUUUAAACAAAUUUAGGGAACUACCUUAAGUAAAUUCAACCAGGUAUCACAUGCAGUCUUACUUUGGAAUUGUGAAAAAAAAAUAAUAAUAAGAGUGGAAAUAUGGAAAGAGAAUGCAAUAGCUACAACAGCAUAAACAUUGACUAUUAAGAAUCAAAAUAAUAUUCAUAAAAAAUAUUCAUUAAGUUAGGUGUCAACAUUUGUAAGAAAUGCACUGUUCCUGGCUUCGAGGUGGAAGAAGGCCGCCACAAGCUAAGGAAUGUGGGCCGCAUCUAGAAGCUGGAAAAGGCAAGAAAACAGUCUCCUCUAGAGCCUCUAGAAGGAAUACAGUCCUGGUGACACCUUGGUCUUGGCCCAGUGAGACCCAUAUCAGAUUUCUAACCUACAGAACUAUAAGAUAGUACAUUUAUGUUUUCUUAAGCCACUAGGUGUGUAAUCAUUUGUUACAACAGCCACAGGAAAGGAAUGCAUGUAUGGUUCUCUACAUUUUUGGUCUCUGCAGAGACAGGGUGGAUGGGGCCAGGAGACUAGCUCUGGCACUUAGAAUGGGGGAUGGGUGUGAUUUGCCCCCUACCUGGGCAAUGUGCCAUGACCUCUCUCUCUGGUGGUUGGACAGCUGAAUGCAGAGGGUCAGUAGAGGGUCAAGGAGGCUCUAGUGGAUGGCAGAGUCGCUGUUUGCAAGGAGCCUUGAAUCUGAAGUCACCACUUGAAAGAGUGUUGCCUCUGGGAGCUGCCCCAACCAAAUGCAUGAGUCUUAAUCCCCUGAGUUCCCAGAGUUCAUUUUUCCCUGCAGCAGAGCUGCUUCUAGUCUAACUCCAGAAUCUCCAAAUCAGAUUAUUUUUUCUUUUUAAAAAAUUUUUAAAGAGUUUUUUUUCUUUUUUUUUUUUUUAAGGGAUCAAACUUCUACAUGGGCAAAGUCAGAACUUUGUUGGGCUUCCUUAGCCUUAGUUUGUAAUUCAGUCUUUUUAAAACUUCACGUAGCACAUGGAGAGCAUUGUAAUCAAAUUUCUAUACUUAGGGCUUGUGACGGUCUUAAACCAGUGCUACUUUCUUGGCCACGGAGGCACCCACAGCCUCACAGUGCAGACAGACAGCUCAUUGGUCUCUUACAGGCUCUUCUGGCCUUUUCCUAAAUAUGCUCUCCAGUGCCAUAAAUUUCUACUUUGUCCAGAGAUUCCUUUUUCUUGGAAUAUGUACCCCACCCCUUCCUUUAAGCUCAGCUCAAUUCCAUCUCCUUCAAGAUGCCUUUCUAGAUUCUCCAAGGAAUAUGAAUUUCCUUCCUCCAUGAUUCCCUGUGUUCUUUCGUAAUACUUAUUAAUGGAUCCCUGUCCUCUCUACCCAAGUACACACACAGGCACAUCCUAAAAUGUAGCUUCUAGAAGGCAAAUAUCAUCCCAGGCUCACUGUGGUCCUUCACCAUAAGAUAGUGCUCUAGGGCAGUAAAUGCUCUGUGCAUUUGCAAAUUUUAGUAAAACCUCUGUGGCUGGUGGAAGAGUUUUGUUUUGUUUGUUUAAGCAGACAGGAUCACGUGGUGCCUUUUAUAUUAUCAUAUAGGACUGGUCCAUUUAUAUAGAGCAAGGGUCCCCCAAGAUUCCUUGUUCAUCAAAAUCUGAAUGACUAAACCAGGCACUGUGCUAAAGGGCCGGAGCACCACGUACCCUGUGGAACUAUCAAAUGUCACCCACUAGGACAGCUGCAAACCACAUAUAGAGUGUACCUACUACGUACCAGACUUUGGGCAGGUGAUCGACAUCAGCCUGAGCCUCUGGCCAGUCCUUCACUUUCUAGGACUUCUUCCCUUUCAGGGAAAUUUGGCCUCCCAGCAUCUGGGGAACAAGCUGCUUAUUUGCUAAUAUCUGUUUGCACAUCAGGGUUUUUUACUUUUAGGAACAGUUUGUCUCUCUGGCAGAUCUCCGUGUUCCCAUACCGUUGUUUAUGAUGUAACUAAGCAUCUAUCGUAUAGAAUUGAACUCAAUUCUCUUUUGAAACUGCAAGAGAUCUAACCCGCUCAUUUUCUUUCCAUUUAACAUACGAGAGGGGUGUGUAGGAGCAGUUUAUUAAGGGGGAGCUGUUUAUUGAAGGAUCCUGGGGCUAAUCCCAGCCCAUUAUUUCUCCAUUUCCUUACAGCUCACUGAGAAGGGUGGGAGAGAACAGGAACGGGGAGACUAUUCUUUCCUGAGUGAUUGUUUGGCCAAUCCACAGGGAUCCUGACUUUCCUACACCCAUCAGGGAAGUAGCAUCCAGAGGGUCAUUCCAGGGACAGGGCUGGCUGUGUCAGGCUGUAAUGAAUGGUUCAGACUGAGAGGUGGAACUUGGCCAACAACAGGGAAAGACAAUAAUCAUUGGAAAAUUUAGGCAUUGAGAAUAAGAUCCAUGUCUGUCUUAUGUCCCCUGGGUACCAACACAAUGACUUGGCUUAGUAACUGUCCCAUAAUGUUUAAAUUAUGUUCAGUGAAUGAGUGAAUGAAUGGAUGCCGUAUUCUUGCUUCCUUCUCCAAACACUCUUUAUAAAAUUACGGCAUCUCAUUCAUGUCUCCUCUAUAAAUCGGGAAUUUGGUGAGGCAUGCUGUUUAUUGCUUAGGAAUCAUUUUACUUAAUCACAAAGGUCCCAGGGGUUCAGGCGGAAAAAAAAAAAAAAAAAAAAAAAAAA
rnacentral:lncRNA from 9 species